UCAAUUUUCACACGCUCGGCGUCGAGACUUGAAACACGCUCGUCUUCUUCACCAUCACCGGGAACGGGGGGGAACCCGAAAUCCGCGCAGAUUCGCGUACCGUCGUCGCCUGAAUCGGCAGCAAGCUGCGCAGCGGCCCUGAGGCGGGGCGCGGUGGCACGGCAAUGGCGAAAUCGAGCGCCGACGACGAGGAGCUCAGGCGGGCCUGCGAGGCCGCCAUCGAAGGCACCAAGGAGAAGAUCGUGAUGUCGAUCCGCGUCGCCAAGAGCCGGGGGAUCUGGGGCAAGUCCGGCAAGCUCGGCCGCCACAUGGCCAAGCCGAGGGUCCUCGCUCUCUCCACAAAGUCAAAAGGUCAGAGAACAAAAGCUUUUCUUCGGGUACUUAAAUAUUCCACUGGAGGAGUACUUGAGCCAGCAAAGUUGUACAAGCUCAAGCAUCUUUCAAAGGUUGAAGUUAUAACAAAUGACCCCAGCGGAUGCACAUUUAUGUUGGGAUUCGAUAACCUCAGAAGCCAGAGUGUUGCUCCACCUCAAUGGACAAUGCGCAAUAUCGAUGACAGGAACCGCCUCUUACUUUGCAUCUUAAAUAUCUGUAAAGAUGUCCUUGGUCGCCUGCCAAAAGUAGUUGGAAUAGAUGUUGUCGAAAUGGCUCUUUGGGCUAAGGAAAAUACACCGACAGUCACUACUCAAAGAAACCUGGAAGACGGGCCAGUUGUUACUGCUGUAACUGAAAGUGACUUGAAAGUUACAGUUGAAAAAGAACUAGUCUCCCAAGCCGAGGAAGAGGACAUGGAGGCUCUUUUGGGAACCUAUGUGAUGGGAAUUGGUGAAGCAGAGGCAUUCUCUGAAAGGUUGAAACGAGAGCUUCUUGCAUUAGAAGCGGCAAACGUGCAUGCCAUUUUGGAAAGUGAACCUUUAGUGGAUGAGGUACUGCAAGGACUAGAGGCAGCAACAAACUGUGUUGAAGAUAUGGAUGAAUGGUUAGGCAUCUUCAAUGUAAAACUAAGACACAUGAGAGAGGACAUUGAAUCGAUAGAGACUCGAAAUAACAAAUUGGGGAUGCAGUCUGUAAAUAAUAAAUCACUUAUCGAAGAACUUGAUAAGCUUCUUGAACGGUUGCGAGUACCAUCUGAGUAUGCAGCAUGUCUAACAGGAGGUUCUUUUGAUGAGGGCCAUAUGCUCCAAAAUGUUGAAGCAUGCGAGUGGCUGACUAGUGCAUUACGGGGCCUUGAAGUUCCUAAUUUGGAUCCUACCUACGCGAAUAUGCGAGCAGUCAAGGAGAAGAGAGCAGAACUUGAAAAAUUGAAAAGUACAUUUGUGCGACGAGCUUCUGAUUUUUUGAGAAACUACUUUGCUAGUCUGGUGGAUUUCAUGAUAAGUGAUAAGAGCUAUUUUUCUCAGCGGGGACAAUUGAAGAGACCUGAUCAUGCUGACUUGCGCUAUAAAUGCAGAACUUAUGCUCGUCUCCUGCAACAUUUGAAGAGUCUUGAUAAGAACUGUUUGGGUCCAUUGAGAAAAGCUUAUUGCAGCUCCCUCAAUUUGCUUCUUCGCAGGGAGGCACGUGAGUUUGCAAAUGAGCUUCGUGCUAGUACAAAAGCAUCAAGAAAUCCAACAGUCUGGCUUGAAGGUUCUACCGGUCCUGGUCAGAAUGUGAAUAAUUCAGAUACCUCCACUGUAUCAGAGGCAUAUGCCAAGAUGCUUACAAUCUUCAUCCCUCUCCUUGUAGAUGAGAGUUCUUUCUUUGCACACUUCAUGUGCUUUGAAGUUCCAGCACUUGUUCCACCUGGAGGUGUCAGUAAUGGCAAUAAAGCAGGAUCUAAUGACGAUGAUGAUGAUGAUUUGGGAAUCUUGGACAUCGAUGAAAAUGACGACGGUAAAGCUGGCAAUGACUCUGUAGAGCUAGUAGCACUAAAUGAGUCCCUACAGGAUUUGCUCGAUGGUAUCCAAGAGGACUUCUAUGCUGUGGUGGAUUGGGCAUACAAAAUAGAUCCUUUGCGUUGCAUAUCGAUGCAUGGGAUCACAGAGCGAUAUAUUUCUGGUCAGAAAGCUGAUGCUGCAGGUUUUGUGCGUCUCUUGCUCGACAAUCUGGAGUCAAGGAUAUCUAUGCAAUUCGGCCGUUUCGUUGAUGAAGCUUGUCACCAGAUUGAAAGAAACGAGCGAAAUGUUAAGCAGACGGGAGUUUUAUCAUACAUUCCUAGAUUUGCAACUCUUGCUACACGCAUGGAACAGUACAUUCAGGGACAAUCCAGGGAUCUUGUUGACCAAGCAUACACUAAAUUCGUUAGUAUUAUGUUUGUCACAUUGGAGAAAAUAGCUCAAACUGAUCCAAAGUAUGCUGACAUCUUUCUUUUGGAGAACUAUGCUGCAUUCCAGAACAGCUUAUAUGAUUUAGCCAAUGUUGUACCCACCUUAGCAAAGUUCUAUCAUCAAGCAAGUGAAGCUUAUGAACAAGCUUGUACGCGUUUUAUCAGCAUGAUUAUAUACUACUUUGUUUAUGGCAGCAAUUCGAACGGCUUUUCCAAUUUGCUCGAAAAAUUGAGGAUUUGAUGUACACUAUUUCUCCUGAAGAGAUUCCUUUCCAACUUGGAUUGUCCAAAAUGGAUCUUCGGAAGAUGCUAAAAUCCAGUUUAUCUGGUGUUGACAAGUCCAUUGGUGCAAUGUACAAGAAAUUGCAGAAGAACUUAACUUCAGACGAGUUAUUGCCUUCCCUUUGGGACAAGUGCAAGAAGGAGUUUCUUGACAAGUAUGAAAGUUUUGCCCAACUUGUUGCCAAGAUCUAUCCAAACGAGACCAUCCCAUCCGUAGUGGAAAUGAGAGAUCUUCUUGCCUCCAUGUAGUUAGAGAAAGAGUUUUGCACUGUAUAAUCUGUCAAUAGUGUCCUAUAUUCUCUUUCUUUGGGUGUAAUAUAGAUCUUUUAGGCUGACUGAUUUCCCAUUUGUUAUUAAUUGGUCCUUAACUAAUUUGUUACUCUAGUUCUCCUGGUUUCUACUAUUGUAUGAGAGAACCUCGUGUUUGUAUCAUUCUUCAGCUUGUUGAGCAACUAUUUUUUGCAAGUUCAUGCUA